GUAGCACCAACAUCUUGUCCCUGUCCUUGUCCUGCCCGUGUCUAGCUGCUUUCAGUUCAAGUGACGCCGGUAGACCUGCUCUGUUCAGAAAUAACUGUGCGCGGGGGUGUCAUCCAGAGUUAUUCUGCAUCAAACUGGUGAGCCAAAACCAAAACCGCGCCGAAUGGGAGCGAAGGGAGGGCAGCGCACAUUCUACAUCAGAGGGCCACGUGGUUUGGAGCGAUGGAGAUGGUAGGACUAGGUGCUCAUCUGCUAGUCAGAUCAACCGCAUUGCGGCCCAUAUUGCGGUCAGAUCAUGCGCUCCUAAGGAUUUUUGAAAGACAGAAGGGCUUGCAACGAGGAUUGCCUCCCAUAUUCUGCUAUAUCGCUUUUGCCCGCCGAAAGUUAAUUGACGAAUUAGUCAUUCUCUAAUUGCAUACUGUCUUCAAGAGAAUGUCCGCCUAGCGCCAACUGCAUAAACGUCAUCUAUGCUGCUCUCACACCUUUUUAUAACUAAAUUUGCACAGGACCCGGAUGAAAAAAUGUACGCUUAAAUCUGCCAAACACAUCUGACUCCAUAAUGCUCUCUUGCGAGCUUUUUCGAUCAAUCAACAUAUCUCUGGUGUUGCGCGUAUUUCGUCCACACUGUUCGCAGCGGACCAGCGCCUACCAGGAGGAGGAACCGAAGAAUCUCCUCAUGGGCUCGCGUAACUUUACCCGACUAGUAGGUGUCCUCUCCUACUCCUAUCCCUCAUUUAUUCCCUGCAGCAGGACGCAGGGAACGCAGGGACGCAGGGACGCAGGACGCACUGUAGCAACAAGGAGGGAACGAAGUCACGAGCCAAAGCCACGCCCACAUUUCCUCAGCCUGACAUAGCGAAUACGUCAUAGUCCGCGCGGGUUUUCAACCUUGUGCGUUGCAGUGAUUUAUAAUGUCCAUAAUAAAUUAUAGAACUCCAGUCGGCGAAGAAUGAAGCAAGUAUUCAGUAAAUCAUGGAAUGCACUACUCCUAUAUCAUAUCAAUAAAUUGGUACUUGGAGAGCGAACCCACAUGAUGCAUAAUAGAACAAAGGACAUGACUCCCC